GAUGAACGCUGGCGGCGUGCCUAAUACAUGCAAGUCGAGCGAAGCGGGGAUGGGUGAGUAACACGUGGAUAACCUCCUAUACGACUGGGAUUACUUCGGCUAACCGGAGCUAACCCCGAUACUUCAAGUUGGAUCCGCGCUGCAUUAGCUAGUUGGUAAGGUAACGGCUUACCAAGGCCACUAUGCAUAGCCGACCUGAGAGGGUGAUCGGCCGCGCUGACACUGAGACACGGGCCAGACUCCUACGGGAGGCAGCAGUAGGGAAUCUUCCGCAAUGGGCGAAAGCCUGACGGAGCAACGCCGCGUGAGUGAUGAAGGUCUUCGGAUCGUAAAACGCUGUUAGUAGUGAAGCGGUACCUAAUCAGAAAGCCACGGCUAACUACGUGCCAGCAGCCGCGGUAAUUC
rnacentral:rRNA from 1 species